rnacentral:lncRNA from 1 species
CUUAGAGCCAUUUUUCAGUGUUGUACCCAUGAUCUUUAUGGAACUUGCCAAAUUUAUUUGAGUCCCUCUUGUUAGUAGGGAUCUUCAUCUUCUAAGACUAAUCAAGAUAUCCCCAAUUCUUGACUACUGUUGUGAUUAGGGCUCUUGGAGCAUUGUGAGGGGUAUACCUCUCAAACUUUCGAGGUAGGCUCCAAGGUCGCAUAGCGAUCCCUCCUUCUUGGCC